AGCAGCCAAUCAGGAGCUGAGAUGCUGAAGCGUCAUCUGUUACCAGGAGCAGCUUUCUGAUGUUGAGCUGCAGCAGGGAGUGGAGGGGCUCAGACGCCCCCUGCUGGUCAACCUGAGUACUUUAAAGUCUGUACUGAGAAACAAAUCCAAAUGAUGAAGUCAGAAAGUCAUUAAUGUGACACCCAGCGCCGCCCCUCCCUACACGCAGAACACGCGCUGUGCGUCGGGCCCCACGAUCUAUGGGGGGCCCCAUUUUGCGCAAGGGGGCGCAUUCUCUGCAAAUGCGCAAAGGACGCGCAUCGCUGCUGUGAGGCGCGUAGAGCACCAAGUCAGCCCGAGGCAGGAGAGAAAAACAAGAGACGAGCAAUCUGACACCGCACGCGUUACCGCAAUGAUUGACAGCACGCAGCAUCUGACCAAUCAGCGGUCAGAUGCGCCGACAGGCAGUUGGAUGCAGGUGGAGAGAUGGCCUCCAAAAGGAAAUAUGAAUCGGGAGCAAGCAAAAGAAAGAAAAAGUCAAAACCAGAGGAGGCUCGUGCUUCACUUGAAGGGUCAAUGCUGAAGUUUGUUACUAAGGGUGACACGGAGCCAGCGCCCAGCACGUCACCAGGACCAUCAAACACCAUCUCUUCAGCUACAGAUGCUACUAUCACUACUCCAAGUGCACAACCAGUUGAUCCUGCUCUGUGGCCGGCACACCUAUCAGACGUCGACCUCAUUGAUGACUUUGCAUCCAGAAAAUGCAGACGUGUGCAUCUGUAAAAGGCUUGUUCCAUUGUUGAUAGAGGCUGUUCAUUUGAUUUGUUCCUACUAAUAAAGGUUGUAAACCUAAA